GACGAACGCUGGCGGCAUGCCUAAUACAUGCAAGUCGAGCGAACAGAUGAAGUGCUUGCACUUCUGACGUUAGCGGCGAACGGGUGAGUAACACGUAAGGAAUCUACCUAUAAGCGGGGGAUAACAUUCGGAAACGGGUGCUAAUACCGCAUAAUAUCUUCUUCCGCAUGGAAGAAGAUUGAAAGACGGCUCUGCUGUCACUUAUAGAUGACCUUGCGGUGCAUUAGUUAGUUGGUGGGGUAAUGGCCUACCAAGACGAUGAUGCAUAGCCGACCUGAGAGGGGGAUCGGCCACAUUGGGACUGAGACACGGCCCAAACUCCUACGGGAGGCAGCAGUAGGGAAUCUUCCGCAAUGGGCGAAAGCCUGACGGAGCAAUGCCGCGUGAGUGAAGAAGGCCUUCGGGUCGUAAAACUCAGUUAUAAGAGAAGAACAAAUUGUAGAGUAACUGCUACAGUCUUGACGGUAUCUUAUCAGAAAGCCACGGCUAACUACGUGCCAGCCGCCGCAGUAA
rnacentral:rRNA from 1 species